GUAGGGAAUCUUCCACAAUGGACGAAAGUCUGAUGGAGCAACGCCGCGUGAGUGAAGAAGGUCUUCGGAUCGUAAAACUCUGUUGUUAGAGAAGAACGUGCAUGAUAGUAACUGAUCAUGUAAUGACGGUAUCUAACCAGAAAGCCACGGCUAACUACGUGCCAGCAGCCGCGGUAAUACGUAGGUGGCAAGCGUUGUCCGGAUUUAUUGGGCGUAAAGGGAACGCAGGCGGUUUUUUAAGUCUGAUGUGAAAGCCUUCGGCUUAACCGAAGAAUAGCAUUGGAAACUGGAAGACUUGAGUGCAGAAGAGGAGAGUGGAAUUCCAUGUGUAGCGGUGAAAUGCGUAGAUAUCGGGAGGAACACCAGUGGCGAAGGCGGCUUCCUGGCACAAUACUGACGCUCAUGUGCGAAAGCUAGGGCAGCGAACGGGAUUAGAUACCCUGGUAGUCC
rnacentral:rRNA from 1 species